AUUGAACGCUGGCGGAAUGCUUUACACAUGCAAGUCGAACGGCAGCACGGGGGCAACCCUGGUGGCGAGUGGCGAACGGGUGAGUAAUACAUCGGAACGUGCCCAGUCGUGGGGGAUAACGUAGCGAAAGCUACGCUAAUACCGCAUACGAUCGACGGAUGAAAGCGGGGGAUCGCAAGACCUCGCGCGAUUGGAGCGGCCGAUGGCAGAUUAGGUAGUUGGUGGGGUAAAGGCUCACCAAGCCGACGAUCUGUAGCUGGUCUGAGAGGACGACCAGCCACACUGGGACUGAGACACGGCCCAGACUCCUACGGGAGGCAGCAGUGGGGAAUUUUGGACAAUGGGCGCAAGCCUGAUCCAGCCAUUCCGCGUGCAGGAUGAAGGCCUUCGGGUUGUAAACUGCUUUUGUACGGAACGAAAAGGCUCUUUCUAAUACAGGGGGCUCAUGACGGUACCGUAAGAAUAAGCACCGGCUAACUACGUGCCAGCCGCCGCAGUAACAC
rnacentral:rRNA from 1 species